GCAUUGCUGAAGAGUCCCAUAAUAGGACGAAACGGUCGUCCAGUGU
rnacentral:hammerhead_ribozyme from 1 species